rnacentral:rRNA from 1 species
GAUGAACGCUGGCGGCGUGCCUAAUACAUGCAAGUCGAGCGAACGGACGAGAAGCUUGCUUUUCUGAUGUUAGCGGCGGACGGGUGAGUAACACGUGGAUAACCUACCUAUAAGACUGGGAUAACUUCGGGAAACCGGAGCUAAUACCGGAUAAUAUUUUGAACCGCAUGGUUCAUAAGUGAAAGACGGUCUUGCUGUCACUUAUAGAUGGAUCCGCGCUGCAUUAGCUAGUUGGUAAGGUAACGGCUUACCAAGGCAACGAUGCAUAGCCGACCUGAGAGGGGGAUCGGCCACACUGGAACGUAGACACGGUCCAGACUCCUACGGGAGGCAGCAGUAGGGAAUCUUACGCAAUGGGCGAAAGCCUGACGGAGCAACGCCGCGUGAGUGAUGAAGGUCUUCGGAUCGUAAAACUCUGUUAUUAGGGAAGAACAUAUGUGUAAGUAACUGUGCACAUCUUGACGGUACCUAAUCAGAAAGCCACGGCUAACUACGUG